rnacentral:tRNA from 1 species
CGCGGGGCGGAGCAGCUCGGUAGCUCGCUGGGAUCAUGACCCAGAGGUAGCAGGUUCAAAUCCUGUCUCCGCUA